rnacentral:rRNA from 1 species
UAGCGGCGGACGGGUGAGUAACGCGUGGGAACGUGCCCUUCUCUACGGAAUAGCCCCGGGAAACUGGGAGUAAUACCGUAUACGCCCUUUGGGGGAAAGAUUUAUCGGAGAAGGAUCGGCCCGCGUUGGAUUAGGUAGUUGGUGGGGUAAUGGCCCACCAAGCCGACGAUCCAUAGCUGGUUUGAGAGGAUGAUCAGCCACACUGGGACUGAG